rnacentral:rRNA from 1 species
AGAGUUUGAUCAUGGCUCAGAUUGAACGCUGGCGGUAGGCUUAACACAUGCAAGUCGUGCGAGAAAGUAUCUUCGGAUAUGAGUAGAGCGGCGGACGGGUGAGUAACGCGUAGGAAUCUACCUAGUAGAAGGGGAUAGCCCGAGGAAACUCGGAUUAAUACCGUAUACCUCCUUCGGGAGAAAGAAGGCCUCUCUUUGAAGCUUUCGCUACUAGAUGAGCCUGCGUAAGAUUAGCUUGUUGGUGAGGUAAAGGCUCACCAAGGCUACGAUCUUUAGCGGGUCUGAGAGGACGAUCCGCCACAUUGGGACUGAGACACGGCCCAGACUCCUACGGGAGGCAGCAGUGGGGAAUAUUGGACAAUGGGCGAAAGCCUGAUCCAGCCAUACCGCGUGUGUGAAGAAGGCCCUAGGGUUGUAAAGCACUUUAAGUUGGGAAGAAAAGUUAUUGGUUAAUACCCAAUGACCGUGACAUUACCAUCAGAAUAAGGACCGGCUAAUUCCGUGCCAGCAGCCGCGGUAAUACGGAAGGUCCAAGCGUUAAUCGGAAUUACUGGGCGUAAAGCGCGCGUAGGUGGUUUAUUAAGUUGGGUGUGAAAUCCCCGGGCUCAACCUGGGAACUGCAUCCAAAACUGAUUCACUAGAGUACGAUAGAGGGAGGUAGAAUUCACAGUGUAGCGGUGGAAUGCGUAGAUAUUGUGAAGAAUACCAAUGGCGAAGGCAGCCUCCUGGAUCUGUACUGACACUGAGGUGCGAAAGCGUGGGUAGCGAACAGGAUUAGAUACCCUGGUAGUCCACGCCGUAAACGAUGUCAACUAUCUGUUGGAAAGCAUUGCUUUUCAGUGGAGCAGCUAACGUAAUAAGUUGACCGCCUGGGGAGUACGGCCGCAAGGCUAAAACUCAAAUGAAUUGACGGGGACCCGCACAAGCGGUGGAGCAUGUGGUUUAAUUCGAUGCAACGCGAAAAACCUUACCUAUGCUUGACAUACUUGGAAUACUUUGUAAUGAAGUAGUGCCUUCGGGAGCCAAGAUACAGGUGCU